rnacentral:rRNA from 1 species
ACCCCAAACCGACACAGGUGGUCAGGUAGAGAAUACUCAGGCGCUUGAGAGAACUCGGGUGAAGGAACUAGGCAAAAUGGUGCCGUAACUUCGGGAGAAGGCACGCUGGCAUUAGGUGAAGUGGUUUACCCAUGGAGCUGAAGCCAGUCGCAGAUACCAGCUGGCUGCAACUGUUUAUUAAAAACACAGCACUGUGCAAACACGAAAGUGGACGUAUACGGUG